GAUUUGGCAUGGGGGCAACCCUGNUCCAGCCUGCCGCGUGCGGGAAGAAGGCCUUCGGGUUGUAAACCGCUUUCGGCCGGAACGAAAUCGCCGGGGAGAACAUCUCCGGUGGAUGACGGUACCGGAAGAAGAAGCACCGGCUAACUACGUGCCAGCAGCCGCGGUAAUACGUAGGGUGCGAGCGUUAAUCGGAAUUACUGGGCGUAAAGCGUGCGCAGGUGGUUCGCUAAGACAGAUGUGAAAUCCCCGGGCUCAACCUGGGAACUGCGUUUGUGACUGGCGGGCUAGAGUGCGGAAGAGGGAGGUGGAAUUCCACGUGUAGCAGUGAAAUGCGUAGAGAUGUGGAGGAACACCGAUGGCGAAGGCAGCCUCCUGGUCUAGCACUGACGCUCAUGCACGAAAGCGUGGGGAGCAAACAGGAUUAGAUACCCUGGUAGUCCACGCCCUAAACGAUGACGACUAGUUGUUGGGGUAGAAGUACCUUAGUAACGCAGCUAACGCGUGAAGUCGUCCGCCUGGGGAGUACGGUCGCAAGAUUAAAACUCAAAAAAAUUGACGGA
rnacentral:rRNA from 1 species